UCUUCACGGCAAUCAAACGUCAACCUGGAUGAUUCUUUCUUUUUCGGUAGAAAUUUCCGGACGAGCAGAUGUAUUUAGUAAAAAUACAGAACGAUCUAUAAUUUGUUGCUUAUUUUAAAGUUCAUCCGCAAGAGUAAAGCCGCCAUAGAAUUGUUUAACGUUGUCAAGUGUAGCAAGAUACAAGUCGUAAGUUUUAAAAAUUUCCGGACGAGCAGAUGUAUUUAGUAAAAAUACAGAACGAUCUAUAAUUUGUUGCUUAUUUUAAAGUUCAUCCGCAAGAGUAAAGCCGCCAUAGAAUUGUUUAACGUUGUCAAGUGUAGCAAGAUACAAGUCAAAAGGUUAAAAUUUGUUCCACAACUUUUCAUUACCAAUUAUGUAUGAUAGUU